CGGGCGGUCCUCAAGGAGGGGAGAGCGAGACGCGCACGCGCUGCGCCGGGUCUCCGCUGUUUUCUUUCUUUUCUUUUUUUUUUCCCCUCUCUCUCUUGUCACCAGGAUCGAGCGCCAACCGGGACGAAGCUCUUUAGAACGAGGCGGACCGCGCGCGGCUCGUCGUGAGCAAACCCCACUCUGUCCCGAGCUUUCUCGGCUGCGGUUGUUGUUGCCAUGAUGAUGACGUCAUGAGACGGCCACCUUGGGGAUGGGGGGGUGGCGGUUGGGGAGCGAAAAAGGUUGGAUUCUUUUUUUUUCCUCGCGUAAGCAGCUUCAGCUCCAAGGCGACUUUAAUAACCGCCGCGCACGUUUGGGCUUAACAGAAUCAUUGCUAUCGAUAGUUCGGCUUUCGAACUCCAAGGGCUGGGAAAAGUUAUACGGAGAGCGCAGUCGCGAUUAGGGACGGGACUGAUAACUUGUAAAGAGAUCAUAUUUAGCCGCCAUUUCAGAAAUCGAGCCCCUUUAGCUCAAAGGGAAGGAAGGCUGAAGCUAUGAUCUUAGGCUUUUCCAUGGACGAUUUAAUCAGGCCCAAGGUCUGUCCCUAUUUUGAAAAGUUGAAUUCACUGGUUAAGCUUUACUACAUGCAACCAACACGUGAAAGCAGUACCGUCUGAGCAACAAGGCUAUCUGUUUGAUGGUAAAAAGAGAAUACAAACAGAAAAUCAGUUAAUAUAAGCACCUCUGUAUUGUAGCCCUCAAAUAGAUGGCAAGGGUUUUUAAAAACAUGCUACUUAAUUCUAGUAAGUAUCAUACUAUUCAGUCUGCUUUGCCUAGAAAAAAACAGUCCCAGCAGUACCCCUUAGCCUAACUAAUGCUACAGAGAUAUUGAGACAAUAAAACAAUAACCUUGACCGAUAUUAGUCCAGAGAGCAUUAUUCUGCAAAUUGCAAAAAAGACUUAUUUAUAAAACAGGGGGAGUGAUAUAAGCAUCUGUUUUGCUUCCAAACUGACAGUCUCUAGACCACCCAUGUCUGAUAUUAGAGGCAACUAGUGGAGAUCUUGUAUAAAAUGUUAAAAUAAACAGUUGUCUCCCUAACAGGAAUGUUUCUCUUCCAUUAACUUCAUAACAAUGUUUAAGAGACACAGGAAUUGGGAAAGAUAAUAUAAUGAAUGAAAAACAAUUUCUUGUCACACCUUAUUGCUUUAUUAUAAUACAGUAAAGGACUCAGGAUUGGGGCUGUGUUCAAUCCCAUUUUGAACUCAGUAUUACUAUAUGUCAAAAGGAAGAUGUUUUUGAAGAGUCUGUUUUCAUUUCCUGUUUCCUGAAACCCCUUUCCUGUUCAGGUUGAAAGACUCAAUACUCUGCCAUUUGGUUUGGUUGCCUUCGAUCCUUCUCAGGCUAAUGGAGCCAUUCAACCCAUGUCUUCCAAACUCCAACCUCAGAGACCUCCAGAAAGCUGGAAACCUCCCUAGACCAUUUGCCAUUUUCAUGGCUUAAAAAGCGGUCUGUUCCCCCCCCCUUCUUUCUGAGCAUUUGGAGGAACUUUUUUAAUGGAGAAAAUUGUUGGCUGUUAGCCAUCUUGAAUUUUAAGCAGUAAAAUGAGGUAAACAUUUAAAUAAUAUAUAGAUAAACAAGUCCUCACAAUGUAUCAUUUUCUGUCCUUGAAAUAAACUGCUUAUUAUCU